ensembl:snRNA
ACUUUCCUUGUCAUGGGGUGGUUUGGGAAACUCAAUGAACGUGUAGUGAGAGCUUCCCUGCUGACACCAUAUCAACACAUACGCGCCACCUGAGCUUCGUGUUCAGGCUCUGGUGCAAUUUUUGGAAAC